rnacentral:sRNA from 1 species
GCAGCCGAACCACCAGUGUGCCGUCGGCCUGGGGAAUGCCGGCGUGGCCGUAUCCACCUGUUAAAGAGAACGCAGGUAUCUCUGUGUCGAGCGCUGUGACCUGCGAACCGGCCACGGUUACUUUUGUGUCUUCCCUGGAGGCGCUGUCAACAAACGAACAAACAAACAAACAAUCAGAAUCAAGUGCGACAGGCACUUAACUGGCUCCAUUGUCCAUUUUGAAGAGCGCGUUGCGUGGGCGAGGAGCCACUGCCUCGAGGCUGUUCCCGCUUCCGCCUGUGCCACACCCACCACGCAAGCAUAGCUACUUGAAACUUGUG